rnacentral:tRNA from 1 species
GCUGCUGUACUCAAGUCUGGUUUAAGAGGCACGCUGCGAAGCGUGUAGGGGCAUUUGCCGCCCGCGUGAGUUCGUAUCUCACCAGCAGCA